GUUAGCAUUGCCACUUGUUUACCUUUGCAAUAAACUACUGUCAUUCUCCAUGAUUCAGAUGGUGAGUGAAUGAAACGAGGAAGAAGUCACCCACCCUUCCCUAGCUCACUUUGGAUGGCAGCACCAAUCUCUGCAAAUCCUGCUGGAAUGUGGUAUUGAGUUUGACCUACCAUGUUGGAGAUAGUUCCAGGGACUUCUAUUAGGCCCAUCCCAUCAUAAUCACCUUCCCUCCACGGGUCUGGUUGUCAAUAUGGUGAUUUUGCCAGUGCACUGUCACUCCAGGAAGUAGGUUCCUCUGGAAAAGCUUGGGGGAUGAGCCACACUACAUACCUGCUACAUCAGAGAAUAGUUCCUCAAAGGACCCUGGGAUCGCCUUGAAAAAGACUCCAGGCGUGUGACCUGAUUUGGUCUGGGAACUGGGUAUACAUCCUGAGUGAGUCUCAGCUGCGCUCAGAGAGGAGCGGGACUGGUAUUUUCACCGUGGGCAGCAACACAGUGGAAGCCCCCAUGUGCCUAUCACUAGGAGCCAUGAUGUAAUGCUGGGGCAGCUACACACUGGAAAUAUGCUUGUUGAGAGUGAGGCACAUCCAUGUCACAUGUCCAAGAUACACGGGUAAUGCCAACUGCUUCUGGAAGUCAGUGUGCCAAUGUAUACUCCCCACUGGAGCACAUGAGCCUUCCAGUUCUUCUACAUCUUGGUCAACACUUCGUUUGUCAGACUUCCUCAUUUCUACCACCUGAGAGGCAUACAGUGGUUUCACCUGACGUUUCCCUGAUGAGUAAUGAAGCCCAUCAUCUUUUCACGUUUACUGGCCGUCUCAAUUCCUUCUUUUGUGAAGCAUCUGUUUAACUGGGCCUCUCUCAUCCAUUUUCCUAUUGGAAUGCUUACUUUUUUCUAAUUGAUUUGUAGUUUCAUAUAUUCUGAUAACUUCUCCAUUACCCAUUUUCUACCUGCCC